AGCGUUUGGCUGUUCGCCAAUUAAAAAGGUACGCGAGCUGGGUUCAGACCGUCGAAAAGCGAAGCUUUUCGACAAGUAAAAAGUUAUAAAGUCGAAAGUUAAAAGUUUGGCUAAUCGACAGUUUGAACCCUCAGAGGAAAUUAAGGAAUUACUGUUAUGAAAUGUUUUUCGUUUAUGAAAUUGAAAGAUAGAACCAAUCGAAUCACGGCGGUCGCAGAAAGUAAUUUUUGCGCAGCAAGUUGACUUUUCGGUGGAACCCAAUCACGCAAGUGAGGGCAAUACCGAGCCCUAUACCAUACGGUGCAGGGUGUAGAGACUAAACGUCAGCCAUCCCGAGUUUAUCGAGGGAUGAAGAUAUAGUCCGAUCCCUUCAGUAAUGAAGGUUCAGCGUUUGUAGAACGCGGAAGUAAAACCAAAUGCGUGAGACAGGUUGGUCUCCUAUCUACUGCACUCGUUGAUUCUUGAGAAGAUCUGCUUCUAGUACGAGAGGACCGAAGUGGACUGACCUCUGGUGUGCGAGCUGUCCUGCCAAGGGCAAUGCUCGGUAGCUAUGUCGGGAAUGGAUAACCUCUGAAAGCAUCUAAGAGGGAAGCCAGCUUCAAGAUUAGGAAUCGUUGAGAACCGUGAGAGAUGAUCACGUUGAUAGGCUUUAAGUGUAAGCGCAGUAAUGCGUUCAGCUAAGAAGUACUAAUGUUUCGAUUCCUGUUAAGAA
rnacentral:ncRNA from 1 species